rnacentral:rRNA from 2 species
AUCAAUAAGCGGAGGAAAAGAAACUAACAAGGAUUCCCCUAGUAACUGCGAGUGAAGCGGGAAAAGCUCAAAUUUAAAAUCUGUCAGUCUUUGGCUGUCCGAGUUGUAAUCUAGAGAAGUAUUAUCCGCGCUGGACCGUGUACAAGUCUCCUGGAAUGGAGCGUCAUAGAGGGUGAGAAUCCCGUCUUUGACAUGGACUACCAGGGCUUUGUGAUGUGCUCUCAAAGAGUCGAGUUGUUUGGGAAUGCAGCUCAAAAUGGGUGGUAAAUUCCAUCUAAAGCUAAAUAUUGGCGAGAGACCGAUAGCGAACAAGUACCGUGAGGGAAAGAUGAAAAGAACUUUGGAAAGAGAGUUAAACAGUACGUGAAAUUGCUGAAAGGGAAACGCUUGAAGUCAGUCGCGUUGCCCAGGGAUCAACCUUGCUUUUGCUUGGUGUACUUUCUGGUUGACGGGUCAGCAUCAAUUUUGACUGUUGGAAAAAGGUCAGGGGAAUGUGGCAUCUUCGGAUGUGUUAUAGCCCUUGGUUGUAUACAAUGGUUGGGAUUGAGGAACUCAGCACGCCGCAAGGUCGGGUAACUUGUUACCACGUACGUGCUUAGGAUGCUGGCAUAAUGGCUUUAAUCGACCCGUCUUGAAACACGGACCAAGGAGUCUAACAUGCCUGCGAGUGUUUGGGUGGAAAACCCGAGCGCGUAAUGAAAGUGAAAGUUGAGAUCCCUGUCGUGGGGAGCAUCGACGCCCGGACCAGACCUUUUGUGACGGUUCCGCGGUAGAGCAUGUAUGUUGGGACCCGAAAGAUGGUGAACUAUGCCUGAAUAGGGUGAAGCCAGAGGAAACUCUGGUGGAGGCUCGUAGCGAUUCUGACGUGCAAAUCGAUCGUCAAAUUUGGGUAUAGGGGCGAAAGACUAAUCGAACCAUCUAGUAGCUGGUUCCUGC